rnacentral:lncRNA from 1 species
CUUUCUGAAAAGGUCAAUCGUAUCUCGUUGUUCAGUGAUCCGGGAGGUGGAAGGCUAUUGGUUCAGGGAGCCCGUCAGACCGGACUGGAGUGAGCCAUGAUUGGUCGACACAGGCGCAAUCAGAGUCAAGAAAACUUUGCUUUUGACUUAUUUACAGCUAGUCACAAUUGAGUGAAGUAUACUCCUGUAAACAAAUUUGGAUUUCUCUCUCUCAAUCUGAUUUCUCCAGAAUGUGGAAACUAUUUAAACAGACUGCAGAUUGAAUUCCUACAUAGGCUAUUCCAGAAUUCUUACGAGACUUGCAUUAGGACAUCAGCAACAGGUAUCAUCUAGUGAACUGUUCAGAUGCAACUGAAUUGAAAAGGAGCUGAACAAAAGAUCCUGAGAGAGACUUCAACAAAAAGUAAAAUGGAUUUUAUCAUACUUGAAAAAUCAACAAUUGCAGUCUGGAUUCAUACAUCACUGUCUGAUGCACCCAACUUGAGUCAAAAAGAUGUUUCAAAUCCCACUAGGCUGGAGGCAAAAAUACUCAAGAGUUUAAGAGCGUCUCUUGACAGUGUACAGAAUAAGAUAGCUUCUCAGCUUUCAGCUUUACUUCACGGUUUUAACUAUCAAAAGAAGCAAGCCAUCUGAAGAUUUGCCUGAGACUGAAGGAUCCACUUCUGCGACGACUCCCUCAGGACUUAUAAUGCAGAUGGAACCAGAUUGAGAAAAACCAGCCAACCAACCAACCAACAUGAUGGCUGAACCAGACAAGAGAAGUCCCGAAGUAAAAUACCCACCAAUUACCAGAAUCUGUGCCUGCCAUACAUCGAAGGUUGGUGAUGCAGCAGCUGAAAUCCACCAUGUCCCUGGAGAUGCUGGUGUGGGCAGGUCGCAAGCCACUGGUAUUGGCUGCAAUGGAUACUGAACUUGACCAAAUCUUUUCAUUCUAAUCCUUCUAAAUGCAUUAUACAAAGAAAUCAACCUAAUAGAAGAAUGCUUUACAAUAUAAUUAUUGGCAUGACUAUCAGCAAGGAAA